UGCCAGCAGCCGCGGUAAUACGGAAGGUGCAAGCGUUGUUCGGAAUGACUGGGCGUAAAGCGCGCGUAGGCGGGAAAGCAAGUCAGUUGUGAAAGCCCAAGGCUCAACCUUGGAAUUGCAAUUGAAACUACUUUUCUUGAAUGCCUAAGAGGGUGGCGGAAUUCCAGGUGUAGGAGUGAAAUCCGUAGAUAUCUGGAGGAACAUCAGAGGCGAAGGCGGCCAACUGGACGAGUACUGACACUGAGGUACGAAAGCGUGGGUAGCAAACAGGAUUAGAUA
rnacentral:rRNA from 1 species